UGGCUAGAAACUUCAAACGAGCUGAGAGAUUAAGAAGCGUUUAAUUUGAAAACACAUUUACGAGGAAAUAAUAUUUACAGUUGGCAAACAAGAUGUUUUGAAGAGUUUUUAAUUUUUGUAGAGAUCCAGUCAAACUACUUGUGUGUACUUUAUUUGGGCAUACAAUUCAUGAGGAAGAAACGACGAAAGGGCCUCAGAGGAGCGCGAUGGUCGCUCGCUGAGAGAACCGACUGCAUCUGUCGCCGUAAAAACUCUCUUUCCUCCUGGAGAACGUUCGGGACGAGCCUGAUGUUGGUUUCACAAGGCUGAAAAACCAACUUUCCAUGUCAUUACAGCACUGCCCUUUAGAAGCUACAGAAGAUACUUAGAUGUUUCCCAGAAGACAAAUUUACCCUGAUCUUCAAAUUCCAAAAGUUUUCACCCCCCGGCUCAUACUACGUCAUGUUUCCUUCUGGAGCAUCAGAGAGUGUCAGGGAUUUCAUCAACAAUAUCUUAAUUUGUGUUCUGAUGAUGAACUAAGGUUUUACGGCUUUGGAACGACAUGAUGGUGAGUAAUUAAUGACAAAAUAUUAAUUUUUGAGUGAACUAUCCCUUUAAAGCAAAUAACUAGUGUUUUGUUUGCAA